rnacentral:lncRNA from 1 species
GCUGGAAAUACAGCUGCAAGCCUCUGUUGACAGAUGGAUGCCUUCUUAAUCACAGCCUGCGUGGGUCUCUCACAGGACAUCCACUAAGAGGAGGGGGAAAGUGAAGAAGGAAGCUCUUUCCGGUCACUUUUUGAGUGUCAGCAAAAUGCAUCCACACAGAAGACCUACCAGUGACGGAGUCAAGUGAUGACUCCUGCUCUCUAGCUCAAAUGCUGGCCAUGGCUGUCUGUGAACACAGCCCAGAGUAGAGCUGCAGGGACUGAGCAAGUGUGGGGAGAGGCGGUGGCAUGCUGGAGCAGCUCACAGUGCCUACAAAAGUUGAUUGUGCCUGUCUCUUCCCGACUCUGGCUCAGGAGUGUCAGG